ACUCAGUCGGUUGAGCGUGGUGCUGAUAACACCAAGGUUGCGGGUUUGAUUCCCGU
rnacentral:tRNA from 1 species